rnacentral:rRNA from 1 species
GUGGGGAAUAUUGGGCAAUGGGCGAAAGCCUGACCCAGCAACGCCGCGUGAAGGAAGAAGGUUUUCGGAUCGUAAACUUCUAUCCUUGGUGAAGAUAAUGACGGUAGCCAAGAAGGAAGCCCCGGCUAACUACGUGCCAGCAGCCGCGGUAAUACGUAGGGGGCAAGCGUUGUCCGGAAUGAUUGGGCGUAAAGGGCGCGUAGGCGGCCCGGUAAGUCUGGAGUGAAAGUCCUGCUUUUAAGGUGGGAAUUGCUUUGGAUACUGUCGGGCUUGAGUGCAGGAGAGGUAAGUGGAAUUCCCGGUGUAGCGGUGAAAUGCGUAGAGAUCGGGAGGAACACCAGUGGCGAAGGCGACUUACUGGACUGUAACUGACGCUGAGGCGCGAAAGUGUGGGGAGCAAACAGGAUUAGAUACCCGAGUAGUCC